ACACAACAUCAACAAGUUGUGAAGCUGUAUAUGUGCACGCAGCACAUUACACAAGUGUAUGGUGUACAUCGCAACUGUGACUAAACGAAGAGCUCUAGGAGAGUUUCCAAUGGUUGAGCAAAUCAGGAUAUGGCUGCAGUUGAUGCUUCAAUGCUGUUCAUUGCAUUACUGGUGAGCUUUUGUACAGAAAGCUUUGAAGCUGGCGGAUGGACGGAAGUCAUUCCAGCAAACACACAUGAGAACCACGCACUAGCGGAAUACGCCUACAUGGUUAGAAGGGGCCUGCAUGUUCAAGGCGUUACUUUUUUCGUAACGCGAGCCAGAUGGAAGGUUCAGCGGGGAACAGUGUAUAACAUCGCAUUCAUUGUUUUCUUCCAAAAUACGAUGCUUGAGAAAUGCAUCACCGUAGUUGUGCUGCCUCCGGUUCACCGACUUCGAUUGAGAAGGAGGGUCACUAAAUUUUGGUGCCGACCAGUGCCAUAGCUGAAAAUGUUUUACAGCGAGGGUGGGGGACGACUUGGAGGGCAUGACAGCAGCAGCCGGAACUCUUUCCGUCAUUAAUACGUUCAUUCGGCUAUCUUGAUAUGUAAUAA